CGCGGGGUUGCGAGCGUUGUCCGGAAUUACUAGGCGUAAAGGGCAGGCAGGCGGAUCCAUAAGUUUAUCGUUUAAGGCGUCGGCUUAACCGGCGUAGGGCGGUAGAUACUGUGGAUCUGGAAUGCGGUUGGGGAAGACAGAAUUCCUGGUGUAGCGGUGGAAUGCGCAGAGAUCAGGAGGAAUACCGAAGGCGAAGGCAGUCUUCCAAGCCGUUAUUGACGCUCAACUGCGAAGGUGUGGGUAUCAAACAGGAUUAGAUACCCUGGUAGUCCCU
rnacentral:rRNA from 1 species